AACAAGAUGGUGUAGUGGUCAACAUCCUUGCUAUAUAUGCAAAAGACCCUGGGUUCAAUUACCAGUCUGGUCA